rnacentral:misc_RNA from 1 species
UCCCAACCCCUGUGACAUACCUAUACGUUGCCUCGGCGGAUCAGCCCGCGCCCCGUAAAAAGGGACGGCCCGCCCGAGGACCCCUAAACUCUGUUUUUAGUGGAACUUCUGAGUAAAACAAACAAAUAAAUCAAAACUUUCAACAACGGAUCUCUUGGUUCUGGCAUCGAUGAAGAACGCAGCA